UACAGAGGUGGCAAGCGUUGUUCGGAAUUACUGGGCGUAAAGGGCGCGUAGGCGGUCUUGUAAGUCUCGUGUGAAAUCCCUCGGCUUAACUGAGGAACUGCACGGGAUACUGCAUGACUCGAGAUCGGGAGAGGGAAGCGGAAUUCCGGGUGUAGCGGUGAAAUGCGUAGAUAUCGUAAGGAAGACCAGUGGCGAAGGCGGGUCUCUGGACAGUUCCUGACGCUGAGGCACGAAGGUCAGGGGAGCAAACGGG
rnacentral:rRNA from 1 species